UUCUACAACAUUCGGAAACUAGUUCGGUGGCAUAUAUUAGUUUAUUUUAAGCUUAUAACUGUGAAUUUAGGGAGGGGUUAAACCAUAGACUUAAUAUCUUCACGUCGCCCAGGUUGUAUCUGUCUGACGGUGUGACAGUUUCAAAUGGGCGAGAUCUGGUUAAAGUGAGGGCUAAACGUUAGGUGGAUGUUUCAUUGCCUGAUCAAAAACCCUGUAAACUUAAAUAAACUGGUUGGAAAAUGUUUAGAGGUUAUCGUUUAAGAUCACUAAAGCACAUUUAUUAUUCUUAUGGGAGGCUUGAUAAAACUUGUCAUCUAAGCUUCAAAUAUGGUUCAAAGAUCACCUAAACACACUUUAAGAGGAGAUUUCACCAUAUUUUAGAAUGAUACAUACAAAGGAACAGCUUGGAUCAUCUGAGCACAUUUUUCCUGUUCCUGAUGAUCACUUAGGAUGUAAUCUAUGAAGUGAACAACACAGCCACCUUUGUUUUUAGAAAAUUCCUCAGGGGUACAUGUGGUGCUGCUUGUUGUUAUCUUACCAGUAUACAGUAUAUUGCAGUAUACAGUAUAUUGCAGUAUACAGUAUAUUGCAGUAUACAGUAUAUUGCAGUGCAGUAUACAGUAUAUUGCAGUAUACAGUAUAUUGCAGUAUACAGUAUAUUGCAGUAUACAGUAUAUUGCAGUAUACAGUAUAUUGCAGUAUACAAUUUCUUGAAUGACCACAGACAGGACAAACAAUGGUCAGUUCUCGCUGCAGAGUUGAGCUGUUAGUCUGGCACCUUUAAACCACUAAAUGACGGAGUAUUAGCGUCACUUGGAGAGAAAAAAAUGAGAAAAAAUAUUUUUAUGUUGCUCCCCUGUUUAAAGAUUAAAGCUCAAAUUACAAAAAAAGUGGAAAACAUAUUAUAGCAAUAAACUUGAAAUACCACUGGUGACAAGACCUGCAACAGCUGUGCGUCCUGUAAGUAGGUCAUUCUCCAUGUAUUAUUCGAAGCUCUAACCUGUUACUCAGUUGUUAGCUGCAGACAAUGAUGCAGUUAUUGGUUGUUUCUUACUCAACAGUCUUAAACCUAAAUUCAAAGCCACUUCUAUUUUUAAUAGAAAAAUAUUGACAGACAUACGUUUUUGCUCAAUAGUCCAUAGCUCUGUUUCAUUCUGCUUAGUUUGUCUUUGGCACUUAAAUUACUUCUUUUCUGUUUGUGUUCAUGCUUAAUGAUUUGUUUUAGAUCAGUUUGUAAAAUACAACAUAACCCCAUAUUUCAUGAAAGGAUUAAUUAACAGUAAGAUACGAACUUAUGAUAGUAUCAUUUUCUGUAUGUCAUUUUUUGGUCUAGGCUACAAAAACCUGCUGCAGUUAAUAAUGUACCAAGAACACAUGAUGCACCCUAGACAACGACCCCCAUGCCAGUGUGUAGGGUGUCUACUGUGCUGCUGCUCAGUUGUGAAAAACAGAAACUUGGAAACAGUGGUCACCUUUUCAGAAAGCACCUGAGAGAAGCAUUUUAUUUUUCUGACAACAAUCAAGAGACAUUUGCGGCGGCCUGCUUCUGUAAGGAAGGCAGACAAGCGUUCAGGAGUCACUAGCAUUGCCCAAUGUGCAACUCUCUUGUAAUGACAUGGUCCUCGAACUUCAUCCAAUAAUAUGGGAUCAAUAGAGCUUUGAUUAUGUAAAGCAGAUAUGUUAGUAUAAAAUUCAGGCUAAUUUGCAAUACUCUAACAAUAUUAACAGCAUUUACAUACUGAAUACCCUCAACAAACCGUCUUUUAUCGCAGGGAAGCAACAUGUUGACUGACAGCCAGACUGCAGCUGAUUGGUGCUAAAAACAACAUUUGAGGGUAGAGUAAAAUACUUGACAUGGACAACACUGAACAAACGGAAACCCUGGAGGCCAUAAAGAACUGGAGGAUGAAUACAAUGACAGCUCUCCAACUGAACUUUAAACUUUUGUUUAUGAAAAAAAGGAGGAGUAUGAAAAAUUCAGCUCAGAAAUGAUUGAUGUACAAAAUCUAAACAAUUUUGCCAGGUUUCAGGAAGACUAAUUAGUCUUUGUGGACACUAAAGAGUAUAGCCAAAGUAAAUGUACAACAGUGACCCUCUUGGUGGCCCCUGGCACCCUGUGGCAUCCUUGUGGCAGCCUUAUGGCCUGGGACAUCCAGCGUGUUUUUAAGCAUUUAUUUAUAAUUUUCUGUGAGUGACAAUUCAG